AGGUUAGAGUGGUUGAGCAUUAAAGUAACAUGACUUUGGUCUCGCAAGUGUGCGACUGUGGUGUCGUUGCGGGGAUCUCUCCUCACCAUCGAACAAGGAAAAGGAGGAGCUCUCCAUUCUCGCAUCACACAUACACAUUGAUUAUGUUUUUGCUCGGAAAAGGACCUACGUUCGACGCCAUUAUCUCCGUCAUCCAUCGGUUGAAGGUGCAGAAAUUGUGUCGAGUUGCAAAAGAUUCAGUGAGUAAGCUAUGGUUCUUGAAGUUAAUAUAUCUUCACCUCAUAGGAGGUCACAGUCACUGACUGCAUUUACAACUUCAUCAUCAUCUAAAAGACAACAACCACGAGGUGAUGAAUUUGGGAGCUGUGCGACUCUACUUCAGCGCCACCGCUUCCUGUUAACAGCGCUUUCCCUCCUAGCAUGUCUCUGCACUAUCUAUCUCUACUUUGCAGUCACUUUAGGGGCUGUUGACUCAUGUUCUGGUUUGAAAGGAACUCAAAAAGCAGCAUGCUAUGUAGAGCAUGGAAAAACAUCGAUGGGUAAAGGAAAACUCAAGUUCUUCUAGCACAUUGAUAAUUUUCUAGCUGAAAGAGCGUUUUGCUGAAUGACUGCUCCUUUCAUUAUGAGGGGCAUAUUCAUGUAACUCAGUCUAACUAUUCCUCACAUGUUAUUUCAGACUUGUGUGCAAUAGUUUGUUUAUAUAUAUCAAAUUCCACAAAUUUUGAUCCAGGAAACUGUUUGACAUCGGGGAAAAUUCUCUGUUGCUAAGGAAUCGAUGCGACUGUUUGAGUUGCAUUUUCUUGUGGUAUACAGAUGUAAAUCUGGAAAUGUAGCAGUAUAUUGUGCAAAUAUGUACGGCCCUUCAAAUCUCUUUUUAA